rnacentral:lncRNA from 1 species
GUGCUGUUUCUUGUAAGGUUAUACUCUCAAUUCUUCUUUCUUCUUUCUUUUUCUUUGGGCGAGCGGGAGAUGCUUUCGCAGCUGCCGCCGCAGGCCUCGGCCUCGGCCUCCUCUUGAUCCAGGGCACAGAAAACAGGGCCGUAUGAACUGAAACAACAAUAACACCAGCGGCGGCUUCGAGUCCUUCCGUACAAGGGUGAAAAAAACGAGACAAUCUGACACUCUGCUGGUCUUGAUCCCUCUUGACAUCCACCUGCAACACAGCAGAAAUAAAAGGCUGUCAUGCUGUCAAGGGAACCGCCACGGGCUGUCACAUCUGGAACUACUGUGGCCGACAGAAACACAGAAGGUGAAACUGCUCACGCGGUCAUGAGUGACAAGUCGGUCCAUUCUUCUACUAGAAAAGCCCAGGGUCUUUUCUCACACAGGGAUUUGACUGAUUGCAUCAGGAAGCUUCAGACAAUAUGAAAAUCUGACAGCAAUGACAACACACACACACACACACACACCCAAGAACGAACACACACACAUCUCCAUGUACCUCUGUGUGGAAGAGAGUUGCAUAACACAAAAAGGCCACAGGGAGAAGGAACGGGAGGGAAAAGUAGGAAAAACAACAAGUGACAGUCACUUAAAACGAUGUGACAGCUGACUUUUAUGUCAAAUUAACUCUCCCUGGCUCCAGGGGAAAAUUCCUGGAAGCGUAAUGUUCCACAGGAAAGUCUCCAAGUUGAAGAAAAAAGACGUCUGCUUCACCCACCCACACAGAACUCCUGACGCUGAUUAACAAAUGGCCACUCACACUGCCAACACGUGACACAGCCUUUAUCACAGAUUCAAGAGUAUGAGUUUCACCACAGUCCAGCUCUUUGGUCCUGACUGUGAUAUCUCAAAAACGAUCGGAUGAAUUGCCAUACAAUUUGGCACACACACGUGUGGUCCCCAGAGGAUGGAUCCUGCAGACUUUUCCUCCAGCUCCGCCAUUAGGGUUUUGUGCGACAUGUCUCGACAAUUACAAGAUGGAUUGCCAUGACAUUUUUUUGUCCAAUGUUUUGAUAUCCGUUCCAAACUUUUUUACCCACUGCUGAUUUUGCAAAUGUUUGAAACGCUAUCAAGCUAAAAAGGGGAAUAAAGUAGCUG